AAGAUUAAGCCAUGCAUGUCUAAGUAUAACAAUUCAUACUGUGAACUGCGAAUGGCUCAUUAAAUCAGUUAUAGUUUAUUUGAUGGUAUCUUGCUACAUGGAUAACUGUGGUAAUUCUAGAGCUAAUACAUGCUUAAAAGCCCCGACUUCCGGAAGGGUGUAUUUAUUAGAUAAAACCAAAUGGGUUUCGGCCCUUCAUGGUGAUUCAUAAUAACUUCUCGAAUCGUAU
rnacentral:rRNA from 1 species